GAUGAACGCUGGCGGCGUGCCUAAUACAUGCAAGUCGAGCGAACGGACGAGAAGCUUGCUUCUCUGAUGUUAGCGGCGGACGGGUGAGUAACACGUGGAUAACCUACCUAUAAGACUGGGAUAACUUCGGGAAACCGGAGCUAAUACCGGAUAAUAUUUUGAACCGCAUGGUUCAAAAGUGAAAGACGGUCUUGCUGUCACUUAUAGAUGGAUCCGCGCUGCAUUAGCUAGUUGGUAAGGUAACGGCUUACCAAGGCAACGAUGCAUAGCCGACCUGAGAGGGUGAUCGGCCACACUGGAACGGAGACACGGUCCAGACUCCUACGGGAGGCAGCAGUAGGGAAUCUUCCGCAAUGGGCGAAAGCCUGACGGAGCAACGCCGCGUGAGUGAUGAAGGUCUUCGGAUCGUAAAACUCUGUUAUUAGGGAAGAACAUAUGUGUAAGUAACUGUGCACAUCUUGACGGUACCGAAUCAGAAAGCCACGGCUAACUACGUG
rnacentral:rRNA from 1 species